rnacentral:lncRNA from 1 species
AAGGCCCCAUGUGAUCUUGUCCCUGACGAGUUAGGGACAUUUUAAAUGUUUGGUUGAAUCAUAUGACGGUGCAGUUUUUCUUAGUUGAAGAUGGUCCGUUAUGGGCAACUUUAUGUGCUUGAGUUCACCCAGGACCCUCAUCCUCAACCAGAUGCUGCCCCCUUGGCCUGCAAAACCCAUCCGCUGUCUACUCCCAUCUUUCCCUGCCUCGACUCACCCCUUCUGCCUUACUAAAUAACUGCCCUUUCUUCAAGUCUUCCAGUCUGUCGUUUCUUCCAAGAAGCUUUGGAUUCUGAAUUAAGCACCCCUCCUCUGAGCUUCCCAAGCAUCUAUCCUCAUUCACUCAUUCAGUCGCUCAACAAAUCAUUAUUAAGCACCAAUUACAUGCCCACCGAAUGCCAGGCAGUAGGGACACGGUAAUGACAAAGUCAGUGACCCUUAGUCAUAGUACAGUCCUGUCGGUUUCUUCUUGCUCAUCUCCUCUACCAGAGCCCGAAUGCUUCCAUGUCUUGUACACCGUGAAACAGCCACGGCUCCACGUACCUGACACAUAAUAAUCACAUCCUCAUUGAAUGAAAAAUAAAUGGAUUGCUCAAAUUUGUCAAAGUAGCGUAUAACCGAUUUUAUUUCUCUUCUGUUCUAGUUUUUUUUUUUUUUAAAGGUAAUUACUCUCACAAUUUAUCAUCUGACAAAAGGAAGCAGCUGAUAAAAGAAGCCCUCCUUUGUUCUGGACUUCCUGGCCGGGUCUCACAAGUCCUGUUUGCUUUGACCGCCUCUGGAGUGUUUGCCCAGUGAGGUCAGGGAAGGGAAGGAGAACACCGCCCGCCUGUUGUCGGAGCCGCAGGAAGCCAGCUGCGAGCUCCGCUUGCCAGGGCUUCACAGGGCUUGGCAGCUCAAUUUCCUCUCAGCCUACCAGAUGAGACAGAAGAGUCCACCGGUCACUUAUCUAAGCAAAGCACAUUGGGAGCCAUUAGAACUUGCGCCACCCGGCAGACUGUCCUGAACCAGAGAGGAGAAAUCAAGGCCGCCUCACCAUAUGAGACUCAGGUGGAUUCUUUACCGCCUGAGCCACCAGCACUUCCUAUGUGCACAGCCAGCAGCAGAAUUCCAGUGUAUGUAAGUAGUGGGUGGUGGAUACACCUGGAUGCCUCCUAACAUCUUUAAAUUCCCUUCCUGUGUUUGGGGAAAUCCCCUGGCUCAUGAUUGCACAAUCCCAUCCCUCCCCUCCCGCCCCCACCAAGGCCUCCUUAAGAGAGAAGCUAUUUAGAAUGCCUCUUGCUUCUCAGGUGCAGGUAAGAGACAGCCUUCACCAAUGUGACACCCACUGGAGACUUUGAUUGGGAAGCUAAUGUCAUAAAGACAUGGAACCCAUUCUGCUGAGCAUAGCAGCCAAGUAGCCAGCUAGCUCCCAGUGACCAAGGUUCCAAGGCGCCUCCGAGCCCCGCACUCAGGUACGUGAA